UAGGGAGGCAGCAGUGGGGAAUAUUGCACAAUGGGCGCAAGCCUGAUGCAGCCAUGCCGCGUGUAUGAAGAAGGCCUUCGGGUUGUAAAGUACUUUCAGUCGUGAGGAAGGUGUUAAGGUUAAUAACCUUAGCAAUUGACGUUAGCGACAGAAGAAGCACCGGCUAACUCCGUGCCAGCAGCCGCGGUAAUACGGAGGGUGCGAGCGUUAAUCGGAAUUACUGGGCGUAAAGGGCACGCAGGCGGUUAAUUAAGUUGGAUGUGAAAUCCCCGGGCUUAACCUGGGAAUGGCAUUCAAGCUGGUUAGCUAGAGUCUUGUAGAGGGGGUAGAAUUCCAUGUGUAGCGGUGAAAUGCGUAGAGAUGUGGAGGAAUACCGGUGGCGAAAGGCGGCCCCUGGACAAAGACUGACGCUCAUGUGCGAAAGCGUGGGGAGCAAACAGGGAUUAGAUACC
rnacentral:rRNA from 1 species